GAGGGUGUAGCUCAGUGGGCAGAGCACUUGCCUCACACGCAUGAAGACCCAGCUUCCACCCGCA
rnacentral:tRNA from 1 species